rnacentral:rRNA from 1 species
AUUGAACGCUGGCGGCAGGCCUAACACAUGCAAGUCGAGCGGAUGAAGGGAGCUUGCUCCUGGAUUCAGCGGCGGACGGGUGAGUAAUGCCUAGGAAUCUGCCUGGUAGUGGGGGAUAACGUCCGGAAACGGGCGCUAAUACCGCAUACGUCCUGAGGGAGAAAGUGGGGGAUCUUCGGACCUCACGCUAUCAGAUGAGCCUAGGUCGGAUCAGCUAGUUGGUGGGGUAAAGGCCUACCAAGGCGACGAUCCGUAACUGGUCUGAGAGGAUGAUCAGUCACACUGGAACUGAGACACGGUCCAGACUCCUACGGGAGGCAGCAGUGGGGAAUAUUGGACAAUGGGCGAAAGCCUGAUCCAGCCAUGCCGCGUGUGUGAAGAAGGUCUUCGGAUUGUAAAGCACUUUAAGUCGGGAGGAAGGGCAGUAAGUUAAUACCUUGCUGUUUUGACGUUACCAACAGAAUAAGCACCGGCUAACUUCGUG